rnacentral:misc_RNA from 1 species
GAUGAAGAACGCAGCGAAAUGCGAUAAGUAAUGUGAAUUGCAGAAUUCAGUGAAUCAUCGAAUCUUUGAACGCACAUUGCGCCCCCCAGUAUUCUGGCGGGCAUGCCUGUUCGAGCGUCAUUUCAACCAUCAAGCCCUGCUUGUGUUGGGGUCCUGCGGCUGCCCGCAGGCCCUGAAAACCAGUGGCGGGCUCGCUAGUCACACCGAGCGCAGUAGCACAUCUCGCUCAGGGCGUGCGGCGGGCUCCAGCCGUUUAAGCACCCACCUUUCGCAAGGUUGACCUCGGAUCAGGUAGGAAUACCCGCUGAACUUAAGCAUAUCAAUAAGCGGAGGA